rnacentral:rRNA from 1 species
UACGAAGGGGGCAAGCGUUACUCGGAAUUAUUGGGCGUAAAGCGUGCGUAGGCGGCUUAGCAAGUUGGAAGUGAAAGCCUAGGGCUUAACCUUAGAAUUGCUUUCAAAACUGCUCUGCUAGAGUACUAGAGAGGAUAGCGGAAUUCCUAGUGUAGAGGUGAAAUUCGUAGAUAUUAGGAGGAACACCGGAGGCGAAAGCGGCUAUCUGGCUGGAUACUGACGCUGUUGCACGAAAGCGUGGGGAGCAAACAGG